GCCUUCGUGGUGUAACGAUAGCAUACUCGGCCCAUAUUCGAGAGAUCCAGGUUCGAGCCUCGGUGACGGCA
rnacentral:tRNA from 1 species